GCCUUUGCUCGAAACGUCGAAGUUCCUUUUGUAUUUUCAGGUAGAUGAAUAUUUUACAGGGUCGCAGUUUUAAGCGUGCCUCCGUUUUUUUAAGUAACUCUCGACUUGACCGUUGCAUAUUUGUGUAAUAGUUCUUUGACAUUACAAUAAGCAUCGCCUGCAUCGGAAAGAAUUUUCACUCGUUACAUUUUGGAACGAGAUUAUUGAACAUUGUGGGAAAUAGCUAGAAAUGUACUUCCUUGGCUUGCAAUCUUCGUUAAAG